rnacentral:rRNA from 1 species
AUUGAACGCUGGCGGCAGGCCUAACACAUGCAAGUCGAGCGGAUGAAGGGAGCUUGCUCCUGGAUUCAGCGGCGGACGGGUGAGGAAUGCCUAGGAAUCUGCCUGGUAGUGGGGGAUAACGUCCGGAAACGGGCGCUAAUACCGCAUACGUCCUGAGGGAGAAAGUGGGGGAUCUUCGGACCUCCCGCUAUCAGAUGAGCCUAGGUCGGAUUAGCUAGUUGGUGGGGUAAAGGCCUACCAAGGCGACGAUCCGUAACUGGUCUGAGAGGAUGAUCAGUCACACUGGAACUGAGACACGGUCCAGACUCCUACGGGAAGCAGCAGUGGGGAAUAUUGGACAAUGGGCGAAAGCCUGAUCCAGCCAUGCCGCGUGUGUGAAGAAGGUCUUCGGAUUGUAAAGCACUUUAAGUUGGGAGGAAGGGCAGUAAGUUAAUACCUUGCUGUUUUGACGUUACCAACAGAAUAAGCACCGGCUAACUUCGUG